GCUGAGGCACAGGGUCCACCCAA
rnacentral:siRNA from 1 species